rnacentral:rRNA from 1 species
AUUGAACGCUGGCGGCAGGCCUAACACAUGCAAGUCGAGCGGGGUUUUCGGACCUAGCGGCGGACGGGUGAGUAAUGCGUAGGAAGCUACCCGAUAGAGGGGGAUACCAGUUGGAAACGACUGUUAAUACCGCAUAAUGUCUACGGACCAAAGUGUGGGACCUUCGGGCCACAUGCUAUCGGAUGCGCCUACGUGGGAUUAGCUAGUUGGUGAGGUAAUGGCUCACCAAGGCGACGAUCCCUAGCUGGUUUGAGAGGAUGAUCAGCCACACUGGAACUGAGACACGGCCCAGACUCCUACGGGAGGCAGCAGUGGGGAAUAUUGGACAAUGGGCGCAAGCCUGAUCCAGCCAUGCCGCGUGUGUGAAGAAGGCCUUCGGGUUGUAAAGCACUUUCAGUAGGGAGGAAGCGUUGUGUGUUAAUAGUACACAGCGUUGACGUUACCUACAGAAGAAGCACCGGCUAACUCUGUGCCAGCAGCCGCAGUAAGAC